UUAUUAUUAUUAUUAUUAUUAUUAUUAUUUAAUUAUUGUAUUUGUAGUUGUGGUAUUUAUUUUAUUUUCUGCUUUACAGCUUUUUUUCCUAUUAAAUUUUUUUCACUUUUCAAUUCAACAAGCUUUGGAAAAAACAACCACCCAACAAGAUUUUUUUUCAGCUUCUCAAAUUUUGUAAGUUUUCUGAAUUUCUGGGCUUCUUGUUUCCUACCUUUUGUACUUUUUUUUCUUCUUUUUUAUUAUUAUUAUUAUUAUUAUUAUUUUUUGUUUUAA